rnacentral:misc_RNA from 1 species
GGUGCCUUGAACUCGCAGUUCUGACGCAGGCAGCCUACCGUGCUUCCACCCGUUGUGUCUCCGUAGUGCCUCAUCCACGCGGCGGGACUCUGCGUAGUCAUUGCCUCCGUCUUUCCGACGUUUCAUUCUUCUGGACGCCCCGUCAACUCUGUGCCGCUCAUAAUGCAGGCUCAGAUGAUGCUCGGGCAGGCGCUCGAGCACUACUCGAUGAUGGACUUUGCCAACCUCGUGCUGGAGCAGUGCUGGGACAUCUGCUACGACAGCCAGCUCACCCGCCCCGAGCUCGCCGGCGGCGAGCUGCCUGAUGUCAAGGUGCAGAAGAUGGACGCCUGCGCGCGCAAGUGUGUCGCACGGCAUUUUGAGGUGCUCACACUGCUGUCGGCGACGCGCGAGCUGCGCGAGAAGGAGCGGAUGCAGGGGCUUCCACCCGGCACGCUGACGAGCAUGUAGAAGGCUCAGCGCUUGUGAGUGAUGUGUGCGCCGGUGCAGGUGCACGCGUGCGUUGUUUUGUGCGCGUUGGUGAUUGGGGCCGUCGUAAAGAAUGCAUCUUCUCUUCAUAUCUAUCCGCGUCGCUCCUUCUUUGCUGUCUGAGCAAGGGCCCGUGGCCAGCAGGGGCCACUGGCGUUGUCGCCUGCCUCUGUCGGAGCAGCAGCGGCGAUCUCUUGACGACAAGUGUGCGAGGAGGUGGGGGAGGAAUGGUGCGUGUGUGCUACACCUGCGAACUCACGCCGCACUCCACCGACUUGCACGCCGUCAACUUCCAUCCUCCCUCAUCUCCGUGGCUGCAUGGAUGCGCAUGCGCAGCCGCUGUACACGAGUGUCCAUGUUCUCUUUUUUCCGCCUCUGCAUGAUCUCACCUUCCUCGUAUGCUGCGGAUGGCAG